ensembl:lncRNA
GCUUGAGCUCUGAGAAGCUGUCUGUGACAGGAAAUGGUGUGUGACAGGAAGUUACAUGCCCGUAAAAGGAAGUCUGAGAGAGAAGUGUGUGUGGGCAAACUGCAGAGUGUGUGCAUGAAAUAAGAGUGUAUUGUUUUUACAUUAAGGUUUAGUAGAACUAAAGUAGAAUGUUAUAAACAAACAGAUGAAUAAAGGUGGACUUCUCUCAACCUGGAAUUUUGAGUACGGCGCCAAAACCAAUAGAGUAGCAUAAUGGGGAGAAGACAGGCCAGAUUUUGGCUUAAAGUUUCACAGCUUGACCUCACACUUGUCCCCCAUCCUGAGAAGAAGCUCAAAGGACAGUUAAUCUCCGGAUGAAGACCGACAGAACAUCGCGGAAUUAAUAGCAGGCAAAACUCAGUGCAACACUGAAACCGAAACUGACGGGACCAGCAGCGGCAUGGAAAAGCAGACGACGCAACAUGUACUGUAAAUUACAGGCUGGGCAGUUGAACAGUGGAAUAAUGAGCUGUGGAAAGCACUGGACACUGAUUGUCAGAUUUGCCAUGCUUGGAGUUGAAAGAGACGAGUGAAAGGAUCAACAGAGAAGAAGAAACCACGUGAUGAAACAUGCACGGUGAACAGCAGGCUGGUAAGAACAGUGCGACAUAACUGUUUAAAGGCACUGAAUGUGAUAUUUUGCCAGGCUGGAUUUAAUCCAAAAGGAAAAUACUGAAGAGAAACAGAGAAGAAACGGACUGUGUUUGCUGGAGAAUUCAAGACAACAAAAAGAACACUGAGAGAAAAGGGACCAGUGAGAAGUGAAGCCUGAGUUCGAUUGUGAGAAUACAGGGUGGAAUUGGACUGAAAGUGAAGCCUGAACUCAUGAUGGUUUAGGGAUGUCCACCGUCAUAAACAAAGAGUUGUGUUUCUUUAGGUACGAAACAGAUCUGGAUCAUUUGUCCACAUUCAGCGGUCGGAAGAAACCUAUAGGUUAACUUGACUGGACAUGCCAAGGCAAGUUUCUGGUUGAAUUUUUCACAGCGCCAUGUCUCCACAAACCUGACAAGUGGAGCCCUAACUUGGGGCUGAGGACAAGGAAAUGCUGUUAUUUAAAGGGGGAACUUAAAAUUUGGGUUAGUAAAUUUGGGAAAGAAAACUGACGGCUUAAGUGGAGAAUUGUGCAGGAGCCUGAAACACUGCAAAAGCAACAUAUGCAAAUUCACAUACACAAGCAGAAAAUGCAUUAACCGUAUGAAGACAAGCUCAUGGAGAUUAAUGCAUAGACACAGAUUAAACCUGGCUAAGAACAGCUUGCUAUUUUGUAUGAAUGAUAAAAUGGUGUGAAUGUUUAAUAAAAUACAUUUGAGUUUGUUAAUGAGGAAUAGAAGAAGCCAUAUGACAUAGGGAGUGAGUUAUGAAAACAAAAAAAGUGAUUAAAGUAGUUUUAAAAAAUAACAAUGACUUAGGAGUGCUCGUGUACUGAGUAAACAACGCUAGUGAUCACUGUAGACAGAAAUAAAAUAAUUUAAGAAGGAGAUAAUGUUUAAACAUAUGUUUCUCUGGUUACGACAUCUUCUUGAGAUGACUCAAUAUGCAAAUUAGUUGGAGUGAGUGGUGACGACGAAGUUUCCUGUGUGUGUGACUUUCAGAAAAGGAAGCAUAGCAGAGACGAGAAGUGCAGACUUGGGUAGGAAUUUAGAGGUUAGUGAUUAUAUGAUGUCGUAAGGGGUCUUAUGCUGAAUUUAAGUAUGUUAAAGAGCAUAAGGGGGUGAAUUUUGUGUGCAAAUUGUGUGGUUUUAAUGAGAUUUUUGGUGUACUGAGGAGGUGCGAAUUAUGUGGUGGCAAAACUUUUGUGUUUGGGGUUGUUGAUGGGUGGAUUCUGUCAGUAAGGGUUGGGUUGUUGCUGUUUUUGUUUUUAAUAGAGGGAGUUUUAGGAAACAUGGACAUGUCUGAGGGGCCCAUUAUUUUAUAACAGUGCACUUAAAGAAAACCUGUCAGGUGAUUUUGUUUUGUGUUUUGUGAGCUAAUAAUCAGCUCUAUUUUUUCUCAUUUUUGUUCUAAGCAGGCCUGCAACAGCGCUGACAGAUUCUCGGGAAGUGCAAACAUAAGGGCUUUCCAGAUUGGCUUUUACCAGAGAAAAUUUCUGUUUUGUAAACUGGGGUUAGAUUAUGGGGUUAUAGUAUAUUGUUGUGAGGAUGCCAAAUAAAAGGGAAACAUUUUUGAUGUAACUCAGUUACCAUUAAUUAGAGGAACACAUGACUGAUAAUUGUUCUGUUUUAAGUUUAUUUUUAUGACAUAGAUGGG